rnacentral:sRNA from 2 species
CAAGGCUUCCCAGUUCGGUAAUUCUGUUUUAUUCUGAGUGUCAGCUCCGUAUCGAAUGGCUCCUCUAUUUGAUCAUCAGCCGGACACGUAGCCGCAUUGGGUAAAUAACGAUUCCAAGGCUUCGUCGCAGGAACUGUUUUGUCUCUGUGUUGCAAUGUUGUAUCACCAUGAGAAACCCCGGAGACAUAAACCAUGCAUGCUGCCUAUCCGGUGACCAAAGCCCAUGGAGAAAAGUGACUCUUUAUUUAUUUUCCUUCGCCUGCAAUAGAGCGUAAAACCCCUGGAUCCUGAAAAUAAGCUUUGUCGCUGUAACUCGAUCAUGACUUGGCGGAAGAUCAAGCUUUUUUUAGGUAUUAUUAGGCACCCUUUCCAAGUAUGUAUCUAUUAACUAUUAAAAAAAGCUAUACCAUUCAAGUAAAAUAUCAGGGAUUGACAUCAACUGCCCAUACCAGACAUUAAGAGAUGGGGACGAAAAUAAGAAGAAGAAGAAGAGAGCGGUAUUCAAAUCUGAAUAGCGACAAACACGAGCGAGUAAGGGUCUAUAAGAUUUUGAUGGUAUAAAUAAUAGUACUGUAUAUUCCAAAAAUAUGCAGAAACAAGCCUUUG